rnacentral:rRNA from 1 species
AGUGAAGCGGCAAGAGCUCAAAUUUGAAAGCUGGCUCCUUCGGGGUCCGCAUUGUAAUUUGCAGAGGAUGCUUCGGGUGCGGCCCCUGUCUAAGUGCCCUGGAACGGGCCGUCAGAGAGGGUGAGAAUCCCGUCUGGGAUGGGGUGUCCGCGCCCGUGUGAAGCUCCUUCGACGAGUCGAGUUGUUUGGGAAUGCAGCUCUAAAUGGGUGGUAAAUUUCAUCUAAAGCUAAAUACUGGCCGGAGACCGAUAGCGCACAAGUAGAGUGAUCGAAAGAUGAAAAGCACUUUGAAAAGAGAGUUAAAAAGCACGUGAAAUUGUUGAAAGGGAAGCGCUUGCGACCAGACUCGCCUCCAGGGUUCAGCCGGCAUUCGUGCCGGUGUACUUCCCUGGGGGCGGGCCAGCGUCGGUUUGGGCGGCCGGUCAAAGGCUCCCGGAAUGUAGUGCCCUCCGGGGCACCUUAUAGCCGGGAGUGCAAUGCGGCCAGCCUGGACCGAGGAACGCGCUUCGGCACGGACGCUGGCAUAAUGGUCGUAAACGACCCGUCUUGAAACACGGACCAAGGAGUCUAACAUCUACGCGAGUGUUCGGGUGUCAAACCCGUACGCGCAGUGAAAGCGAACGGAGGUGGGAGCCCCCUCGUGGGGCGCACCAUCGACCGAUCCUGAUGUCUUCGGAUGGAUUUGAGUAAGAGCGUAAAUGUGGGGACCCGAAAGAUGGUGAACUAUGCCUGAAUAGGGCGAAGCCAGAGGAAACUCUGGUGGAGGCUCGCAGCGGUUCUGACGUGCAAAUCGAUCGUCAAAUUUGGGUAUAGGGGGCGAAAGACUAAUCGAACCAUCUAGUAGCUGGUUCCUGCCGAAGUU